GAUGAACGCUGGCGGCGUGCCUAAUACAUGCAAGUCGAGCGAACAGACGAGGAGCUUGCCCCUCUGACGUUAGCGGCGGACGGGUGAGUAACACGUGGAUAACCUACCUAUAAGACUGGGAUAACUUCGGGAAACCGGAGCUAAUACCGGAUAAUAUAUUGAACCGCAUGGUUCAAUAGUGAAAGACGGUUUUGCUGUCACUUAUAGAUGGAUCCGCGCCGCAUUAGCUAGUUGGUAAGGUAACGGCUUACCAGGGCGACGAUGCGUAGCCGACCUGAGAGGGUGAUCGGCCACACUGGAACUGAGACACGGUCCAGACUCCUACGGGAGGCAGCAGUAGGGAAUCUUCCGCAAUGGGCGAAAGCCUGACGGAGCAACGCCGCGUGAGUGAUGAAGGUCUUCGGAUCGUAAAACUCUGUUAUUAGGGAAGAACAAAUGUGUAAGUAACUAUGCACGUCUUGACGGUACCUAAUCAGAAAGCCACGGCUAACUACGUG
rnacentral:rRNA from 1 species